AGGUAGGAGAUUUUUACAAAUGGCCGCAAGGCUUUGCAGCGCCGCCCUGGUGGAAGACCACCGAACUAUGUAGUGCUGGUAUAGUGAUCGCAACUCCAGGGCGCUGCUGCUGCUGAUGCCUCGAGUGGAGAGUUACAAGGAUGAGGAUGUCUCAGAGACUUGUUAAUUAGUCCAUCCUCCUUAGAGGAGACAUCGCAUAGACAGAAGAUGUCUCAUCAUUCAUUUUUUCCUCAUAGGUGGUUUGCAGUCCUGUAGUCCACAACAGGCCUCCUGUAACCUUCAGCCCUUCAUCUUCCUCAUGGGUCACUGAUUCACUACCGUUUGAAGCACUACCCACAAGGCAUACUGUAAGCGAUACCCAUUACAGGGCAUCCAGGAAAGUUUCCAAACCUAGACCUAUAUAGUGCUUCUCACGGAACAGUGUUCGUCUUGCAGUCGCUGUCAUUAUGCUUCUGAAUGAGGAUGCAGAGAGAAUAAUGAAUAAUUCAUAAAUUCAUGCAUAAUUGAGAGGAAAAGUUAUCAUAUUCAGUUCCUGGGGUGUCUGAGGGGGAGUCGGAAACAUGCGCUCACAUCACCAGACGGAAACCCCGUUAUGUGAAACAUUAACUGCCGAUAUUUUAAUAUAUUUCUAACGAAUGUUACCUAUAUAAGAAUAACAUAUAUUAGUUAUUAUCGCUCUUCAAAAAUUGUUUAUUCAAGUUUUGUAUAAAUAUAAUUCAUUGAAACAGAAAACAAAAUAGAACAGCUUUUACGGCUCAAUAAUACCGUGGGUUCUCUCUUUCUCUCAAUAUGACAAUAGGAUUUGGACAGUUUUAAUUUCAAAGACAUUUUCUUUUGAGUGUUUCUCAAAAUAGAACAUCACCAAAGUGUUUUCAAACUCAACAUCGGUUUGAAGUCGACAUAGGCCUAGGUUGCUGCUUGUUGUUGAGCAGCAAACGGCUUC